rnacentral:rRNA from 1 species
GAUGAACGCUGGCGGCGUGCCUAAUACAUGCAAGUCGAGCGACAACACGAGAAGAUUCCUGCUGUCACGUUACCGACGGACGAGUGAGUAACACGUGGAUAACCAACCUAUAAGACUAGGAUAACUUAGGGAAACCGGAGCUAAUACCGGAUAAUAUAUUGAACCGCAGGGAUCAAUAGUCAUAGACGGUUUUGCUGUCACUAAUAGAUGGUUCGGCGCCGGAGUAGGUAGUUGGUAAGGUAACGGCUCACCAAGGCAACGAUGAGUAGCCGACCUGAGAGGACGACCAGCCACACUGGAACUGAGACACGGCCCAGACUCCUACGGGAGGCAGCAGUGGGGAAUCUUCCGCAAUGGGCGAAAGCCUGACGCAGCAACGCCGCGUGCGUGAUGAAGGUCCUCGGGUCGUAAACCGCUUUUGUAAGGAAAGAACCAGUGUGUACGAAACUAGGCGCGUAAUGACGGUACCUAAACAGUAAGCACCGGCUAACUACGUG